rnacentral:rRNA from 1 species
UGGGGAAUUUUGGGCAAUGGGCGAAAGCCUGACCCAGCAACGCCGCGUGAAGGAUGAAAUCCCUCUGGGAUGUAAACUUCGAAAGUCGGGAAAGAAAUCGCCAUGGAGAAUACCUGUGGUGGAUGACGGUACCCGACGUAAGCCCCGGCUAACUACGUGCCAGCAGCCGCGGUAAUACGUAGGGGGCAAGCGUUGUUCGGAAUUACUGGGCGUAAAGGGCGCGUAGGCGGCAUGGCAAGUCGGGAGUGAA